rnacentral:lncRNA from 1 species
ACUUUGGGAGGCUGAGGCAGGCAGAUCAGCUGAAGUCAGGAGUUUGAGACCAGCCUGGCCAACAUGGUAAAACCACGUCUCUACUAAAAUACAAAAACUAGCCAGGUAUGGUGGCGGGUGCCUGUAAUCCCAGCUACUCGGGAGGCUGAGGCAGGAGAAUCACUUGAACCCAGGAGGUGGAGGUUGCAGUGAGCUGAGAUCGUGCUGCUGCCUUCCAGUCUGGGUGACAGAGCCAGACUCCAUCAAUAAUAAUAAUAAUAAUAAUAAUAAUAAUAAUAAUAAUGAUAGCUACCACUACUGAACAUAUAUGAUGUCCCAGGCACCAUUCACAGGUAUGAACUCACUGAAUCCUCAGAGCAACCUUAUGAGUAGGGAUGAUCACUCUGUUCUUUUUAAUAGCUGUUGAGACUGAGGCAUGCCUUGCUAAUAAGAUGGCAUUGCCCAGUGUGGCAGGUUGAGUAAUGGCUCCCUGAAGAUGUCCACCUUCUAAUCCCCAGUACCUGCAAAUAUUACCUUGCAUCGAAAUUACCUGUAAAGUAAAAUGGUAAAAAUGGAAUAUAAUCUUACAUGGAAAAAAGGGAUUUUGCAGGUAUGAUUAAGUUAAGGAUUUUUUUUUUUUUUUUAAGAUGGAGUCUCACUCUGUUGCCCAAGCUGAAGUGCAGUGGCGCAAUCUCAGCUCACUGCAAACUCCACCUCCCAGGUUCAAGAGAUUCUCCUGCCUAAGCCCCUGAGUAUCUGGGACUGCAGGCACGUGCCACCAUGCCCGGCUAAUUUUUAUAUUUUUAGUAGAGAUGGGGUUUCACUAUGUUGGCCAGGCUGUUCUUGAAAUCCUGACCUCAGGUGAUCUACCUGGCCUCCCAAAGUCCUGGGAUUACAGGUGUGAGUCACCAUGCUCGACCUAAGUUAAGGAUCCUGAUACAGGAAGAUUAUCCUGGAUGAUCUGGGUGGGUCCAAUGUUGAGGAGAGUCCUAAUAAGAGGUAAAUAGUAAUGUCAGAGUCACAGAAGGAAUGUGAUGAUGAAAACAGAGAAAGAGAGAGAGAGAAAGGGCAGAAGAGAAGGAAAGAGAGGCUUGAUGCCACACUGCUGACCUUGAAGACUGAGGAAAGGACCGUGAGCCAAGGAAUGCAGGCAGCCUCCAGAAGCUGGAAAUGAAUUCUCCUCUGGAGCCUCCGGAAAGAACAGAGUCCUGUUAACGCCUUGAUUUUACAACUUUUGACUUCUAAAUUUAUGUUGUUUUAAGCUAUUAAGUUUGUGGUAAUUUGUUAUAACAGCAACAGGAAAUAAAUACACGAGGAUUAAAACCCAGGCAGUUUGACCCUAGUGCCAUCGUUCUUAACUAUGGUCAUAUAUGAGGUUAUUAGCUAUGUCCAGGGUGCUAUGUGAAUCUAGAGAAAUAACACUUAACAGAGAGAUAGGGAAGGACAGAUAGUGUCAGCAAGAUGACAAUCUAGCUCUCUUAAGUGGGGCAGGAGUUACGAAGGCAGUGAAGGAAGGAAGGAUAAGGAAUUGAAUUAACAUAGAAAGAUAUGCAUGAUAUCAUAGGUGAAACUAUUCUACUAUUAUGUAUUUGUUUCCCCAUUUCUGUUUUUAGAAAUAUAUACAUGAGUUUAUUUAUAUUUAUAAUCAUAUGUGCAGAUAAUAUGCUCUUAUAGUGCUCUUUGGGGAGUGGGUUUCUGGGUAAAUGUAAGAGAAGGCUUUACUUUUUGCUUAUAAAUUUUCACAUUAUUUGAAAAUUUCAUCACACAUGUAUUAUGUUGGGCUUACUUUUUUGUAAAAUAAAGUAUGUGUAAUAUAUCAUUUUUCAAAAUUGGAGAAAAUGAUAUGCAUUGCUGGGAU